AACGAACGCUGGCGGCAUGCCUAACACAUGCCAGUCGAACGAAGGCUUCGGCCUUAGUGGCGCACGGGUGCGUAACGCGUGGGAAUCUGCCCUUUGCUUCGGAAUAACAGUUAGAAAUGACUGCUAAUACCGGAUGAUGUCGCAAGACCAAAGAUUUAUCGGCAAAGGAUGAGCCCGCGUAGGAUUAGCUAGUUGGUGGGGUAAAGGCCUACCAAGGCGACGAUCCUUAGCUGGUCUGAGAGGAUGAUCAGCCACACUGGGACUGAGACACGGCCCAGACUCCUACGGGAGGCAGCAGUGGGGAAUAUUGGACAAUGGGCGGAAGCCUGAUCCAGCAAUGCCGCGUGAGUGAUGAAGGCCUUAGGGUUGUAAAGCUCUUUUACCCGGGAUGAUAAUGACAGUACCGGGAGAAUAAGCUCCGGCUAACUCCGUG
rnacentral:rRNA from 1 species